rnacentral:rRNA from 1 species
UGGGGAAUUUUGGACAAUGGGCGAAAGCCUGAUCCAGCAAUGCCGCGUGUGUGAAGAAGGCCUUCGGGUUGUAAAGCACUUUUGUCCGGAAAGAAAUGGCUCUGGUUAAUACCUGGGGUCGAUGACGGUACCGGAAGAAUAAGGACCGGCUAACUACGUGCCAGCAGCCGCGGUAAUACGUAGGGUCCAAGCGUUAAUCGGAAUUACUGGGCGUAAAGCGUGCGCAGGCGGUUGUGCAAGACCAAUGUGAAAUCCCCGAGCUUAACUUGGGAAUUGCAUUGGUGACUGCACGGCUAGAGUGUGUCAGAGGGGGGUUAGAAUUCCACGUGUAGCAGUGAAAUGCGUAGAGAUGUGGAGGAAUACCGAUGGCGAAGGCAGCCCCCUGGGAUAACACUGACGCUCAUGCACGAAAGCGUGGGGAGCAAACAGGAUUAGAUACCCUGGUAGUCCACGCCCUAAACGAUGUCAACUAGUUGUUGGGGAUUCAUUUCCUUAGUAACGUAGCUAACGCGUGAAGUUGACCGCCUGGGGAGUACGGUCGC